rnacentral:rRNA from 1 species
CAAUAGCGUAUAUUAAAGUUGUUGCAGUUAAAAGCUCGUAGUUGGAUUUCUGGUGGGAGUGUUUGGCCGGCUCAAUGAGUUUGUGCCUAUAUACUUUCGCCAUCCUUGGGGAAAACAUUGCUUGGCAUUUAGUUGUCGAGUUUGGGAUCCCAUCCGUUUACUGUGAAAAAUUAGAGUGUCAAAGCAAGGCUAUGCCGUUGAAUACAUUAGCAUGGAAUAAUAAGAUAGGACCUUGGUACUAUUUUGUUGGUUUGCGUACCUAGGUAAUGAUUAAUAGGGACAGUUGGGGGUAGUUCGUAUUCAAUUGUCAGAGGUGAAAUUCUUGGAUUUAUGGAAGACGAACUACUGCGAAAGCAUUUACCAAGGAUGUUUUCAUUAAUCAAGAACGAAAGUUAGGGGAUCAAAGAUGAUUAGAUACCA